rnacentral:rRNA from 1 species
AGAGUUUGAUCCUGGCUCAGAACGAACGCUGGCGGCGCGUUUUAAGCAUGCAAGUCGAGCGGCAGGGGGGCUUCGGUCCCCCGAGAGCGGCGGACGGGUGAGUAACACGUGGACAACCUGCCCCCCGGUUCGGGAUAGCCCAGGGAAACCUGGAUCAAUACCGGAUGCGAGGGCGGCCGCACAAGCGGCCGUCGGGAAAGGCGCUUCGGCGCCGCCGGGGGAUGGGUCCGCGUCCCAUUAGCUAGACGGUGGGGUAACGGCCCACCGUGGCGAUGAUGGGUAGCCGGCCUGGGAGGGUGGACGGCCACAUUGGAACUGAGACACGGUCCAGACCCCUACGGGAGGCAGCAGCUAAGAAUCUUCCGCAAUGGGCGAAAGCCUGACGGAGCGACGCCGCGUGAACGAAGAAGGCCGUGAGGUUGUAAAGUUCUUUUCGGGAGGGGGAACGAGGCUGCCAGGCAAUGGGCGGCCGAUGACGUGAAUCCCGGAAUAAGCCCCGGCUAACUACGUGCCAGCAGCCGCGGUAACACGUAGGGGGCGAGCGUUGUUCGGAAUCAUUGGGCGUAAAGGGCGUGCAGGCGGCCGCCAAAGUCCGGUGUGAAAGACCCAGGCUCAACUUGGGGGGUGCUCCGGAUACUGGGCGGCUUGAGUACAGGAGGGGACGGCGGAAUUCCAGGUGUAGGGGUGAAAUCUGUAGAUAUCUGGAGGAACUCCGAUGGCGAAGGCAGCUGUCUGGCCAUGUACUGACGCUGAGGCGCGAAGGUGCGGGGAGCAAACAGGUUUAGAUACUUUGGUAGUCCGCACUGUAAACUAGAAGGAGCGGGCGGCGGGGGCAAACUCGCUGCCGCAGUCAACGCAUUAAGUGCACCCACAUGGGGAGUAUGCCCACAAGGGUGAAACUCAAAGGAAUAAACGGGGGCCCGCACAACCGGUGGAAACAAGUGGUUUAAUUCGAUGAUACGCGAGAAACCUUACCAGGGCUUGACAUGCGCCGGCAUCGCGUUGAAAGGCGCGCGCCCCUCGGGGCCGGCGCACAGGUGCUGCAUGGCUGUCGUCAGCUCGUGCUGUGAAGUGUUGGGUUAAGUCCCGCAACGAGCGCAACCCCUCCCGUCUGUUGCCACCACCUCGGGUGGGCGGUCAGGCGGGACCGCCGGUGACAAACCGGAGGAAGGAGGGGAGGACGUCAAGUCAUCAUGGUCCUUAUGUCUUGGGCUACACACGUGCUACAAUGGCCGGUACAGAGCGCAGCGAGGCCGCGAGGCCGAGCGAAUCGCCCAAAGCCGGUCCCAGUACGGAUUGGAGUUUGCAACUCGACUCCAUGAAGUUGGAAUCGCUAGUAAUCACGCAUCAGCAUGGCGUGGUGAA